UUAAGUGAAUAAGGGCGCACGGUGGAUGCCUUGGCACUAGGAGCCGAUGAAGGACGGGACUAACACCGAUAUGCUUUGGGGAGCUGUACGUAAGCUAUGAUCCAGAGAUUUCCGAAUGGGGGAACCCAACAUCUUUAAUAGGAUGUUACGAUUGUGUGAAUACAUAGCACAUUCGAGGUAGACGCAGAGAACUGAAACAUCUAAGUACCUGCAGGAAGAGAAAGAAAAUUCGAUUCCCUGAGUAGCGGCGAGCGAAACGGGAAAAGCCCAAACCAGCAAGCUUGCUUGUUGGGGUUGUAGGACUCCAAUAUGGUAGUUCUUUCAGAUAGUCGAAUGACUUGGAAAAGUCAGUCAAAGAGGGUAAAAACCCCGUAGACGAAAUGUGGAAGACACCUAGGAGGAUCCUGAGUACGGCGGAACACGAGAAAUUCCGUCGGAAUCCGGGAGGACCAUCUCCCAAGGCUAAAUACUCCCUAGUGACCGAUAGUGAACCAGUACCGUGAGGGAAAGGUGAAAAGCACCCCGGAAGGGGAGUGAAAUAGAACCUGAAACCGUGUGCCUACAACAAGUCAAAGCCCGUUAAUGGGUGAUGGCGUGCCUUUUGUAGAAUGAACCGGCGAGUUACGAUUGCAUGCGAGGUUAAGUUGAAGAGACGGAGCCGCAGCGAAAGCGAGUCUGAAUAGGGCGUUUGAGUAUGUAGUCGUAGACCCGAAACCAUGUGAUCUACCCAUGUCCAGGUUGAAGGUGCGGUAAAACGCACUGGAGGACCGAACCCACGUACGUUGAAAAGUGCGGGGAUGAGGUGUGGGUAGCGGAGAAAUUCCAAACGAACUUGGAGAUAGCUGGUUCUCUCCGAAAUAGCUUUAGGGCUAGCCUCGGAAUUGAGAAUGAUGGAGGUAGAGCACUGUUUGGACUAGGGGCCCAUCUCGGGUUACCGAAUUCAGAUAAACUCCGAAUGCCAUUCAUUCAUAUCCGGGAGUCAGACUGUGAGUGAUAAGAUCCAUAGUCGAAAGGGAAACAGCCCAGACCACCAGCUAAGGUCCCAAAAUAUAUGUUAAGUGGAAAAGGAUGUGGGGUUGCACAGACAACUAGGAUGUUGGCUUAGAAGCAGCCAUCAUUUAAAGAGUGCGUAAUAGCUCACUAGUCGAGUGACCCUGCGCCGAAAAUGUACCGGGGCUAAACAUAUUACCGAAGCUGUGGAGUACACCUUUAGGUGUAUUGGUAGGAGAGCGUUCUAAGGGCGUCGAAGGCAGAUCGUGAGGACUGCUGGAGCGCUUAGAAGUGAGAAUGCCGGUAUGAGUAGCGAAAGACAGGUGAGAAUCCUGUCCACCGAAUGACUAAGGUUUCCUGGGGAAGGCUCGUCCGCCCAGGGUUAGUCGGGACCUAAGCCGAGGCCGACAGGCGUAGGCGAUGGAUAACAGGUUGAUAUUCCUGUACCCGUUGUUUUUGUUUGAGCAAUGGAGGGACGCAGGAGGCUAAGGAAUGCAGACGAUCGGAAAUGUCUGUCCAAGCAGUAAGUCUGAAGAGGAGUCAAAUGCUUCUUUUCUUAAGGACAAGCUGUGAUGGGGAGGGAAAUAAUAGUACCGAAGUUCCUGAUGUCACACUGCCGAGAAAAGCUUCUAGUGAGAAAACAGCGGCCCGUACCGCAAACCGACACAGGUAGUCGAGGAGAGAAUCCUAAGGUGAGCGAGAGAACUCUCGUUAAGGAACUCGGCAAAAUGACCCCGUAACUUCGGGAGAAGGGGUGCUGAUCAUACGAUCAGCCGCAGUGAAUAGGCCCAAGCGACUGUUUAUCAAAAACACAGGUCUCUGCAAAAUCGUAAGAUGAAGUAUAGGGGCUGACGCCUGCCCGGUGCUGGAAGGUUAAGAGGAGUGCUUAGCGCAAGCGAAGGUACGAAUUGAAGCCCCAGUAAACGGCGGCCGUAACUAUAACGGUCCUAAGGUAGCGAAAUUCCUUGUCGGGUAAGUUCCGACCCGCACGAAAGGCGUAACGAUUUGGGCACUGUCUCAACGAGAGACUCGGUGAAAUUUUAGUACCUGUGAAGAUGCAGGUUACCCGCGACAGGACGGAAAGACCCCAUGGAGCUUUACUGUAGUUUGAUAUUGAGUGUCUGUACCGCAUGUACAGGAUAGGUAGGAGCCGUAGAAAUCGGAACGCUAGUUUCGAUGGAGGCGCUGGUGGGAUACUACCCCUGCGUUAUGGCCACUCUAACCCGCACCACUAAUCGUGGUGGGAGACAGUGUCAGAUGGGCAGUUUGACUGGGGCGGUCGCCUCCUAAAAGGUAACGGAGGCGCCCAAAGGUUCCCUCAGAAUGGUUGGAAAUCAUUCGAAGAGUGUAAAGGCAGAAGGGAGCUUGACUGCGAGACCAACAAGUCGAGCAGGGACGAAAGUCGGGCUUAGUGAUCCGGUGGUUCCGCAUGGAAGGGCCAUCGCUCAACGGAUAAAAGCUACCCUGGGGAUAACAGGCUUAUCUCCCCCAAGAGUCCACAUCGACGGGGAGGUUUGGCACCUCGAUGUCGGCUCGUCGCAUCCUGGGGCUGUAGUCGGUCCCAAGGGUUGGGCUGUUCGCCCAUUAAAGCGGCACGCGAGCUGGGUUCAGAACGUCGUGAGACAGUUCGGUCCCUAUCCGUCGCGGGCGUUGGAAAUUUGAGAGGAGCUGUCCUUAGUACGAGAGGACCGGGAUGGACUUACCGCUGGUGUACCAGUUGUUCUGCCAAGGGCAUUGCUGGGUAGCUAUGUAGGGAAGGGAUAAACGCUGAAAGCAUCUAAGUGUGAAGCCCACCUCAAGAUGAGAUUUCCCAUUUCUUUAAGAAAGUAAGAUCCCUGAGAGAUGAUCAGGUAGAUAGGUCAGGAGUGGAAGUACAGUGAUGUAUGGAGCGGACUGAUACUAAUCGAUCGAGGACUUAACCAA
rnacentral:rRNA from 6 species